GGAUUUGAUUUAAGGUUUAGGAUUUGUCUAAGAUUUGUCUAGGGUUUGAUUUAGGAUUGAAGAUUUAUUUAGGAUUUGGCUUAGGAUUUAGGAUUUUUUAGGAUUUGAUUUAGGAUUUAGAGUUUGUCUAGGAUUUGGUUUAAGGUUUAAGAUUUUUUUAGGAUUUGGUCUAGUAUUUAGGAUUUGUCUAAGAUUUGGUCUAAGAUUUGUCUAGAGUUUUCUUUAGGAUUUAGGGUUUGUCUAAGGUUUGAUUGAAAUCCAUCAGAGUUUCAAUAAGGGUUAAAUUAGAACUUAGUUGAGAUUUAUUUGAGAUAUAUUUGUGAUUAUUCUAAUAUUUUUUAGGAUUUCUUAAGGAUUCUUUUAAGAUUUAUUGUGGAUAUUCUUUCAACUCCUUUAAGAUAUCUUAUUGUUUCUCUUGUAAUUUCUUUAGGAUUUCUUUUGAAUUUGAUUAAAGCUUAUUAAGAAUUUUUAAGAUUUUAUUAGACUUUAUUUUGUAUUCUAUUAGAGUUAAGAUUUUGUUGUAGCAAUUUCCAUUCUAUCUUCUACAGCCAAGUGCUUGGUGCAUUUCAAGAAAGAUUUCAUAUAAUAUGAAAAUUUUAUAAUAAAUCAAUGGCAAUACCAAUGUCUUUCAAUAUAUAUCUUUAAAAGUAAAGGAUAUGCAAAUUGAUGCAGUACGUUUCAAACCU
rnacentral:lncRNA from 1 species